UGUUGCUACCAUGUUCUCUUGUCCAAACCUGAGCUUAUCUGAUUUUGGAAGCUAAGCAGGGUUAAGCUUGGUUCAUUCUUGGAUGGGAGGCCAAGAGUACAGUAUAGUACCAG
rnacentral:rRNA from 1 species